CCUACGGGAGGCAGCAGUGGGGAAUAUUGCACAAUGGGGGAAACCCUGAUGCAGCGACGCCGCGUGAGUGAAGAAGUAUUUCGGUAUGUAAAGCUCUAUCAGCAGGGAAGAAAAUGACGGUACCUGAUUAAGAAGCCCCGGCUAACUACGUGCCAGCAGCCGCGGUUAAACGUAGGGGGCAAGCGUUAUCCGGAUUUACUGGGUGUAAAGGGAGCGUGGACGGCAGCACAAGUCUGGAGGGAAAUGCCCGGGCUUAACCCCGGAACUGCUUUGGAAACUGUGCAGCUAGAGUGCAGGAGAGGUAAGUGGAAUUCCUAGUGUAGCGGUGAAAUGCGUAGAUAUUAGGAGGAACACCAGUGGCGAAGGCGGCUUACUGGACUGUAACUGACGUUGAGGCUCGAAAGCGUGGGGAGCAAACACGAUUAGAUACCCUGGUAGUC
rnacentral:rRNA from 1 species